rnacentral:rRNA from 1 species
UAGUCGAGCGGUAGCACAGAGAGCUUGCUCUCGGGUGACGAGCGGCGGACGGGUGAGUAAUGUCUGGGAAACUGCCUGAUGGAGGGGGAUAACUACUGGAAACGGUAGCUAAUACCGCAUAACGUCGCAAGACCAAAGUGGGGGACCUUCGGGCCUCAUGCCAUCAGAUGUGCCCAGAUGGGAUUAGCUAGUAGGUGGGGUAACGGCUCACCUAGGCGACGAUCCCUAGCUGGUCUGAGAGGAUGACCAGCCACACUGGAACUGAGACACGGUCCAGACUCCUACGGGAGGCAGCAGUGGGGAAUAUUGCACAAUGGGCGCAAGCCUGAUGCAGCCAUGCCGCGUGUGUGAAGAAGGCCUUCGGGUUGUAAAGCACUUUCAGCGGGGAGGAAGGCGGUGAGGUUAAUAACCUCGUCGAUUGACGUUACCCGCAGAAGAAGCACCGGCUAACUCCGUGCCAGCAGCCGCGGUAAUACGGAGGGUGCAAGCGUUAAUCGGAAUUACUGGGCGUAAAGCGCACGCAGGCGGUCUGUCAAGUCGGAUGUGAAAUCCCCGGGCUCAACCUGGGAACUGCAUUCGAAACUGGCAGGCUAGAGUCUUGUAGAGGGGGGUAGAAUUCCAGGUGUAGCGGUGAAAUGCGUAGAGAUCUGGAGGAAUACCGGUGGCGAAGGCGGCCCCCUGGACAAAGACUGACGCUCAGGUGCGAAAGCGUGGGGAGCAAACAGGAUUAGAUACCCUGGUAGUCCACGCCGUAAACGAUGUCGAUUUGGAGGUUGUGCCCUUGAGGCGUGGCUUCCGGAGCUAACGCGUUAAAUCGACCGCCUGGGGAGUACGGCCGCAAGGUUAAAACUCAAAUGAAUUGACGGGGGCCCGCACAAGCGGUGGAGCAUGUGGUUUAAUUCGAUGCAACGCGAAGAACCUUACCUGGUCUUGACAUCCACAGAACUUUCCAGAGAUGGAUUGGUGCCUUCGGGACUGU